GCUUGUGUGGCUCAGUCACUUGAGUGUCUGACUUCGGCUCAGGACUUCGGCUCUGACCUCAGCUCGUGGGUUCGAGCCCCACGUCGGGCU
rnacentral:tRNA from 1 species